rnacentral:lncRNA from 1 species
UUUUUCACAAAAAUAACUUAAAAUUAAAUUUUACUAAUUUGUACUUUGGUUAUUUCAGAAUUAAAGUAGAAAAUUAGUCACUAUAAGAAGUUAGGUUGCAAACACGUUUUACAGUCAUACAAAGUCUGAAAGUAAUCUGAUCUAUGGAUGUUGAUGAUGUCCUGACACUAAGGUGUGCUAAUUUAAUAUUUAGAUUUAAUUGGUAGGUAGGACAGGUGUGGUGAAAAAUGUUCUAGGUUUUGCAGUUUGACAAGAAAAUAAGUUUCAAAACAGGGCUGUCAUGCAAGAGAACUAGAACAUAUUUAAAUAAGCAAGUCCAAGGGAGGAAGAACCUAUUACCUGUGGCGGAUACAGCCAAUCAGAAUCAGGUACUCGUGGGCUGGGGCGACGGUCGGGACGCAGUGAGUCGGGUCGUCGGAUGGCGUGAAUCUGGUCGCGUUACAGCAACUGGGGGCCUGCUGAACCUGUCAACUUUGGGGUAUACUGUAUGGUGUGGCUAGCGGGCCUGUAAAUG